UACGGGGGGGGCAAGCGUUGUUCGGAAUUACUGGGCGUAAAGGGCUCGUAGGCGGCCAACUAAGUCGGAUGUGAAAUCCCCAGGCUUAACCUGGGAACUGCAUCCGAUACUGGAUGGCUUGAAUUCGGGAGAGGGAUGCAGAAUUCCAGGUGUAGCGGUGAAAUGCGUAGAUAUCAGGAGGAAUACCGAUGGCGAAGGCAGGUCUCUGGGCUAACACUGACGCUCAUGCACGAAAGCGUGGGGAGCAAACGGG
rnacentral:rRNA from 1 species